GAGAGUCUGCAGGUCCAGUGACCAGCUUUAACCAGAUUCUUGUCCUGGAAACUUCCUGCAGGCAGCAGAGACAGCAGCUCUGAGGAAGGAAUGGGUCAGGACACCUCUGGAGAGCCAUGAACCUGUCCACCAGCAGCUCAGUCUCUCACCUCCAGAUGUGCGAGCAGCAGCCAGACAGAAGACACAGCAGCAGGACACCUGUCAGUGUGAUCGAGCUGCUUCCUGCUCGGCCUCUUUCUGCUCCUCCACCUUCAGACCACCUCCAGCCUGAAGCCAGAAGCAUCAAACCUGCCGUGGACCAGCCUGAGGAGCAGAGCGGAGAGGAGGAGGCCAUCUACCAGAACACACUGUUGGCCUGCAGCUACCAGGACCACAGCGAUGAUCCUCAGAGGUGCAGUGAGCUGAACGAUGCAGAGAGCAGUCUAGAAGGAGACUAUGACGUUUUACCCGUUAGAAACAACCUCACAGAGAGCAUCUAUGACGUACCGAGCUCUCUUCUGAGGAAGAUGCCUGAAGACAAAACAGAUGAGCAGCUGGAGGAAGAAUCGAGCUGGAAGGUGUCGUUUGAGGACAGCAGCAGCACAUUUAGCUCACAAUGCAUUUAACUCUUCCAUUCUUUGUACACAAGUUUCCGCUUAAUGCCUCCGAGUUUCAGGUUCGAGUCAGACAAACUGUAUUUAUGCAACAGAUACAACAAGUAAAUAACUCUUUUUUUGGACGUUGUUCAGCUUUUCUGCGUUUGACAACAAGCAAAACCACGACAGAGAGAUUCGACUGUGGGGUUUAUUUCAGCUUAUGUGAUCAUUUUUAACUAUGGAGGACACGCUGUACAGAAGAGUCUACAGAGAAGCACUGUGGCUCACAAUAACUUUCCAUGCCACAAGGUUCACUGCUGAAACGUUCACACCAUAAACAUCCAUAUUGCUGUUUCACACACUUUGGAUUUAAGGGGAAUGAUCUGAGCUUCAACCCUUCAUGGGUUUUAUGGAACAUAAAAAAAAAUACAGCAUCUCUUUUAUCGUUUCCUGCAGGCAAAUAGAAACUGCUAAUUCCUCGUGUUUUUGACAUGUUGCCUGAUAUAAUACACUAGAAAAAAACUGAGAUUAAAAUAUCACCUGAACAAUUAGAACAGGGCUGUCAAACAUGCGGUCUGCGGGCCAAAACCGGCCCUCCAGUGGGUCCGAUCCGGCCCACUUUGUAAAGUGUAAAAAUGACAGAGAAGACAUGAACUGUAGAUUGUAAAUUGGUGAAACUAUAAAUGACAAGUUGUUUUGAUCAUAAAGUAAAAUACUACGGUAGAUUGUUCAUUGUCCUUUUGUUGUUUUGUGCCUCGUUUUGUAAUAUUUUUGGUUUUUGUCUUUUGUCGUCUCAUGUUUUUGCCACUCUGUUUCUCACUUUUGUUGUUUUGUGUUUCCUUUUUGUCUCGCUUGUGUUUUUUGUCAUAUUUUUGUCAUUUUGUGUUUUGCUUUAUUCAUGGUUUUGUGUAUCAUUUUUGUGUUUUUUUUGUCUCACUUAUGUUGUCUAUUUUUUUGUUGUUUUGUUUCUUACUUUUGUCAUUUUCUGUCAAAUUUUUGGUGUUUGUCCAUUUUUUUGUUGCAUUGUAACUUUUUUGUCUAAUUUUUUGUCUUGUUUUGUUUUGCAUCAUUUGUCUCAUUUUUUGUCAUUUUGUUACUCGUUUUUGUCAUUUUGUGUCUCAUUUUUGCAAUAUUUUGUCGUCUGUUCUUUUUGGACUUUUUUGUCUGACUUUUGUCGUUUUGAUCAUAAAGUAAAAUACUACACUGGUCAAAAAAAUUAAAGGAACACUUUUUAAUCUAAGUAUUGCAUCAAGACAGUUAAACUUCUGGGAUACUGAUCUGGUCAAGUAAGUAAAAGAGGUGGUUUUUAGUCAGUUUCAGCUGCUUUGGUGUUCAUGAAAUGAACUGGUGCUCUGUGCUUUUCACAGAUGAGAGCAGGUUCAUCAUGAGCACAUGUGACAGACAUGAAAGGGUCUGGAGAAGCUGUGCAGAUCGUUCUGCUGCCUGUAGUAUUGUUCAGCAUGACCGGUUUGGUGAUGAGUCAGUGAUGGUCUGGGGAGACAUGUCCAUGGAGGGACACACAGACCUCUACAGGCUGGACAGCAGCACUCUGACUGCCAUUAGGUAUCAG
ensembl:lncRNA